UCACAACAGCCACUGUCACGCAGCAACGUCUCUCUUUACCAAUACUUUGUGCCUCCGUUAACAUUGGCUGUUUCAGAAUUAAAAAACAAUAAAAGGCUUCAAAAUUUCAAAAAAUAAAAAUCACAAAGAACAAAAUGUCCCAAAUUAGAACCCCUAAUUAAUCAAAUUCAAUGAGAUUAAGAGGGGCUUCGAUUCGGUGGCGACCAGUGCACAGACAUGAACGUUGGGGACGAUGAUGACGACGCCGUCAACAAACCCCAAAGACCUCGACAGCAGCGCCACUCGAUCGCCCAAAAACCGCCGUCACCGUCAGAGCCACGUGGCCACCGCCGUCAUCGCCGUCGCGGCGCUCGUGAUCUCCACCGCGGCUUGGCUCUCCCUCGUCUUCUCCGGCGCCUCUCAGCCCUUCCCUGCCCCUCAAACCCUCACUCCCUCCCGCAAUCGCAGCCUCUCACUCUCCCAACAGCAACAACAACUCAGACACUCCCAGGAGCUCACUCUAAACGACAUCGUUUUCGGCAUUGCCGGGUCUGCCCAACUCUGGAAGCAGCGCAGGGAGUACGUGCGGCUUUGGUGGCGCCCAAAAGACAUGCGCGGCCACGUCUGGUUGGAAGAGAAGCUCCCCAAAAAUGACGUCGAUUUGUCCUUGCCGCCGAUCAUGGUUUCCGAGGACAUAUCGCGGUUUCGGUACACCAACCCGACGGGUCACCCGUCGGGGCUCCGAAUCUCCCGAAUAGUCUCCGAGUGCUUCCGCCUCGGCCUCCCCAACGUUCGGUGGUUUCUCCUCGCCGACGACGACACGAUUAUCAAUGUCGAUAACCUCGUCGCCGUUCUGAGCAAGUACGACUCGUCGGAGAUGGUUUAUGUGGGGAGCCCAUCUGAGAGUCACUCUGCCAACACUUAUUUCAGUCACUCCAUGGCUUUUGGUGGUGGGGGAAUCGCCAUUAGCCACCCUUUGGCUGAAGCCCUCUCUGAAAUGCAAGAUGAGUGUCUCGAGAGAUACCCAAAGCUCUAUGGAAGUGACGAUCGUCUCCAUGCCUGCAUUACUGAACUUGGGGUUCCCUUAACCAGAGAACCUGGUUUCCACCAGUGUGAUAUUAGGGGUAAUGCUCAUGGUCUGUUAUCUUCACACCCAAUUGCACCAUUUGUGUCCAUUCACCAUGUUGAAGCUGUUGACCCUUUCUAUCCUGGCUUCACCUCUCUACAAAGCUUGGAGCUUUUUACACAGGCAAUGAGACUCCAACCCACCAGCUUUUUGCAGCGGUCUAUUUGCUAUGAUCGUAGACGCCGUCUCACAUUCUCAGUCUCGGUUGGUUAUGUGGUUCAAGUAUUCCCAAGCAUUGUUCUCCCUCGUGACCUUGAGCGCUCGGAGCAGACUUACUCUGCUUGGAAUGGGAUAAGUCACAGGAAUGAAUUCGAUUUCGAUACCAAAGACCCUUAUAGGUCUGUCUGUAAGAAGCCUAUUCUGUUCUUCUUGAAAGAUGUUACACAGCAGGAGAAUGCUACAUUGGGCUCAUAUGUCCGGCCUCGAGCAAAAGAUGAUUUCAAGAGAAAAGUUCUCUGCUUUCCCCGGUUCAGAGUUUUGCGCAAUCUGCGGAAAAUUCAGGUUUUGGGCUAUCCACUCACCAAGAAAUGGCAUCUGGUACCACGACGUUUAUGUUGCAAACUGAACCAAACAAGUGAGGAAGUCCUUAGACUAACAGUGGGGCAGUGUGCUAAGGGAGAUUUUGGCUCUAUUACUGAUUCUAAAUGACUAUGUUAGCAGCGGGGUAUUCUCUCAAUCAAUUUGGAUUUUGGACAUGAACAUCGCUGCUAUAUGACAUGUGCUUGCAGAUAUGAGAAUGCUUCAUUGUAAACGGAAAAGUUGAAGACAAGCAUGCCAACCUACGGCUCGGGUAUUACAUUCUUUGCCUUCGAUUUUGUUCAGAAGGUAUCAAAUCAUAAAUUGAGAUCGAACAUCUGCUAGCUGAUUAAGUGAGACAAACAGUAGUUGUUCAAAACUUUGAUAUGCAAAUUAGUAAACCCUAAUGCCUGUGUGCUGAGCUUCUUCUAAUCUUUUACUCGUUUUUGUAACUCAAGGCUAACGGUUGAAUGGAUUUGAUGUGACCAAAUUCCAAAAAGUUGUGAGCUGCUAAGCAUUUGUUACUGUGUUCAUGGAGCUGUUUGAGUGAGGAAAAUUAAGUCAAAAGUUAUGCCUGCUGCUUUGAAAAUGAUGUAAUGAUUGAAUUUACAGGCCAUUAGAUUGAGGGACGGUAGGACUUUCUUGUCGAUUGACCGCCAAGACUCGUAAAUAUUCAGAAACUUACAGUUGAGGUAGACUUCAUCUUGGACUGGAUUGCGCCGAGGCACCUCAAUAUUUUUGACCUUUUUGGUGUCGCAUGGCCUAUGGUGCCUCGCUGGCUAGUUGGUCAUGGUCCACGAUUCAGGUUGUGGGGCCCAUGUUGAGCUGCAGAUGUGGAAACCAGAAAUACAUAUCAAUUUUGUUGGGUACCUCUCAA